GCCAGCGGCGAUAGCACGUUGAACACACUAGUUCUCAAUGAGUCGGUGAAGUUAAGUAACGUUGCACGAGUUUAGUAUUCAGAUGGGUGACCAUCUGGUUAAUCGCGUGCUGCUGGCU
rnacentral:rRNA from 1 species